ensembl:lncRNA
GAUGAUUCCAAUUCAAUCAUUAUAUUCUCUCGAAGGAUAAGUAACUCAUUAGACAUAGAACUAGCAGUGAGAAGCUGAGGUCUUAAUUGUGGUUUUGAUGAUGAUGUACUGUUUGACACCUACAAGUUAAAUAUCUCUUUGAAUCUCAGUUCUUUCACUGCAGAAUGGCAAUAAUUCUGUGUCACUCGUGUCAAAAACCAAUACUAUGAAAAAGUUUUGUGGAAAGCGUUAAUGCAAAAUAGCAGCAGGGGUAGGAAUACAAACUGCUCUGGACAGCAUCGCUUCCAGGGAGCAGUACCUUUACCUGCUCUGUGCCUAACGUACAGCAUCACUCACAAAAGCGUGCACACAUACAGGGCAUCUUAUCCUGCUCAUCUCAGAAACACACAUAUAAAGCAGACUGUUACAUACAGCAACCGAGUAGUUCUGCUGCACCCUCAGGAGAGUUUAAAGAGAUUUAAAAACUGCAUAAGGACCACUUCUCCUCCCCUCUAACAUCACUCAGGUUCUUUCAUAAAGUGGAGCCGUGUACAUCAUUACCUCCUAGAAGUUCUGCAGCACUAACCAGGACCAAUCCUCCAGUCUCAUACACUUCACAUUAAAAAAUAAAAAAAUAAAAUUAAAAAAUGAGAUUCAAGCAUUAUGAAAAACUUGAGGCAAAUUUUCUCAAUUCUCACACCUCCUAGACUAUUUCCCAUUCUCAGGACAAUAAGAUAGGCCCAUAGGUGGCAUAAAGGUGCACUGCUGUUAACUACAAUGUUAUGACUAAUUUAAUUUUCAGUAGUAAGUGGGAUGUGGGUGGAGUCAGAAUUAAAACCUGUGGUGGUGUGUUGUGUUUUUUUUUUUUUUUUUUUUGCCUCUUUCACACCCCUCUUAGUAAUGCUUUGAAGCUUUAUCAGCAUUCCCUUGACACAUUUUGCUUAAUAUAGGCGUGCCAAAAAGUGCCUCUCUGGAGUAACUCUAGACAAUACCAACAUUUAAACUGCCUGUGUCAGAGGAUAGAAUUUGCCAGCAGCACUUCAGGCUGGACCAGGCUCUGAGCGCCCUGAUUGAGCUGUAGGUGUCCCUGUUCAUUGCAGGGGCACUGGACUAGAUGACUCUUAAGGGUCUCUUCCAGCUCAAACGAUUCUAUAAGAAACUUGGAUCUGCUCCCAGAAUGCAAGGAGAUCCCAAGUUCUCAUGUGCAUGCUGGAAAGGACCAUCCAGACUCCAAAGCCAGCCUGAGCCUUCCCUGCCCCAGGCCCAGCCCUCUGGCAGAGCACCACCAGCAGCAGCAGCAGACUGCCAGGAGAGCUGCUCUGCAACUGCUUCAGCAACACGCAUUGAAGUUAUGGGCUCCAGCAGACUUCCUUGGAAAUCUCAUGAACAUUAUGUUGAGAGAAAACUGUGGGCAUUUCAGUAUGAAUAGGCAAAGAAAGCCCCACCUUGGACAAUGAAUGUAAGGUAAGCAAUAAACCAGAUUUAUCUUCCUUGAUUUAUACCAAUUUUUGAUGACUCAUGCUCGGUACCCGACCUCUGCUGGACCCCUGUUCAUAGUCUCUGUACCACACUCACGUCACUGUCUGUGAUGGAGGGAACGGCCUUCCUGCACAGGGUGCUCUGGAGCAACAGCCACUCCUGGCUGUGCUGCUUGUGCCCAGGGAACAAAGCAGAGAGAUGAUGCAAAUGGCAGAGAGGAAAGUGGGGACGGGAGCAGGGAAGAGGCCGGAGUGCUGGUGGGUGACCACACCGCUGCAGCCAGAAAGGAGGUGCAGGGCUGUGGGCAGAGGGGCAGUGGUUGGAAACAGAUGGGAAGAGAGGCAGAUGGAGGGCUGGGACAAACAAACACAGUAAUCCAAACUGCUUAAAAUCAGACGUUCAUGGAAAAAAUUGUCCUGCUUCCAAUCCUACACAGAGGAUGAACGGAAGGAUCUCAAGAGGUCCCUCACAAUCUGUACUCUUCAGCAUCAGCCCUUCAAAUUGCACUGUUUCAUUCUACACCAGUGUAUAUGAUCAAAACAUUUUCUUAACCACCUAAUGGCUACGACAGCAUAGAAUGUAGGCAAAAUCAGAUCCCAGCACAGGGGAUCCCAAAAAGGAAUUUUUAAGUUAUCCUACAUAAGAUCUUACACAAAUAGGUUUGAAAUUUUUCAAAUCAAUGCUUUUUUUAAUUAAAAUGUUAUGUAAAUUGUUACUAGAACAUCAGAUUCUGCAGCUUCUGGACAAAAUCUCAAAUGUAGGAAUCUAAAAUCAAAGGCUCCAGACUAAUUAGAGAGAGAGAGAAAGCAAGAGGAGUUAAAGCAACAGGGAGGAAAAAAAUAACCAGAAUAGCUGAUUAAUGCAAGAAGUAGAUUAAGAAGGGAAUGAGAAAUAAAGCACUGUCAGGUCAAGGCUUUGAAUUACUUCAAUAGGUGAAGACAGGAAGCAGCAGUGAGGGUAACUGGGUAGUUCCCUGACACAGCCCACGCAGUUUGGGUGGCUCAGGCCUGUCCCUGUGUCCCAGCGUGGCCCUCUAUCCCUUCCCUCACUCUGGGCAAAGUUCUGCAACCACAAGCAGGUGUUCUCCAGGCUGAAAUUCAGAGCAGAGAAACAAGCCGCGAUGGAAGCUUUGAAUGACUUGUUGGGUCAUGUGGAAUCUACCCAGCACUGGCAGUGCCGUGGAGACCCUUUAAGAGUAGGCAAAGUAGGAAGGAGACAGCUUUAUGUCUCUGAUCAUACCUCAGCCAACACUCCUGAAAUAUCUCAGUACAUCCACUGGGAAACAGGCAGGGUGAACACCACAUUCAUGCUAUUACUUCUCUACACGCU